CAGCACUUAAGACUUUGAGCCGCUGUUUAACAAAAUAAUGAUAAACCAAAAUAGACUGACCUAAUUUGUAGUUGGGAAUACAAUCUGUCGGAAAUGAAAUUACUCUCUAUGUAUUGAUAAGUCGAAGCUCUCUCUCAUUUCUUUAAUAUAUUCUCGAUGUGUUUAGACAAACACGUUAGUGAGUUUUUGAUCCGGGUUGAGUAGAGAACAAUAAUUCCAAAUGAGCAGAAUAAUAUUAUAUACAGCCUUGAUUCUAGUUGCUCAAGGAAUAUCUUUUGCAGAAUCAGCAAUUAAUGAAAAGGCUACUCAAGAAAACGAACUUGACGAACAAUGCAGCGCGUACACUUAUAAGUCAGUGAAGCCAUUCAUAGAUUAUAUACAGCAUGUUAAGGACGGACUUGAACAGUGUGAACUAAAGGAUAAGGAAGUAAAAGAGUUAAAAGAGAAAAUUGUUCAUCAGCAAGUCAACGAAGCGAUUAUUAAAGAAUUGAGGGCUCAGAUUGACGAUCUGCACUCAAAUUUAGAAUUUCAGAAAGAAAUUAUUCAUAGUCAAAUGUUACAAUCCAAGAGUGCAGUGAAUUGCGACGAAUUGAAAUUUAAAAUAGUGUUUCAAAAUGAUAAGCUAGAAGAAUACGAAAAUCAACUUCAUACGUUAAACGAAACUCUUGAUGAAAAGAAUGCUAGCUUGUUACAAUGGGAAAGACAUCUUCGUGAGAUUAACCAAACUCUUGCUGAAAGGAAUAAUGAGUUGGUGAAAGAAAAUAAUAAUUUGAAAGUAUGCAAUACAAAUGUUGAUAAGUUAAAGGAGUUAAAUGAAAAUAGCGUUUGUGGUGGUUGUAUUCCGGGUACUAAUUCAAUAUAUGUAGAUGGCUAUGGUUCAUUCGAUGUGUUGAUCGAUAAUAAUACAGAUGGACCUGGCUGGAUUGUCAUCCAGCAGAGAAUAGAUGGUAAAGAAGAUUUUUAUCGCGAUUGGGACACGUAUUUAGGUGGCUUUGGUUCUUUCAAGGGCGACUUCUUUCUAGGCUUAGAAAAGAUUCAUCAAUUAACGAACUCGACACGCCAUGAGCUCCUUAUUCACAUGAAGAACUUUGAUGGGAGUAUCAGCAACGUUCGCUUUGACAAUUUUAAAGUCGAUGGCAAAGAUACAGACUACACUUUGAGCAGCUUGGGUAAUUAUUCUGGGGAACGCGAUAAUCAUGGCAAUUUACAUAAGCAAGUGGGUAUGAAAUUCACAACGUUGGACCGUGAUAAUGAUGUGUGGGAUUCUGGAAACUGCGCAGAAGAAUAUCACGCAGGCUGGUGGUACACAGCUUGUACAUUUUGCCAUUUAAAUGGAGUCUACCCGGCGAAAGGAGAUGAUUGGAAGAGGCCAAACCUUCGUUGGAUUCAGCUAGAGAGUCCCACGACGGUCAAAAUGCUCAUACGUAGACAUGCUGAUAACUAAAUUAUUUUUCGUGUUUCCUGAGAUCAAUAAUUAUAAACAGCAGUUUAGCGAUCUUACAUUCUAUUUACAAUAGUUUAUUUACAACGAGUUGGGUCUCUAUUUAGCAUUAUCCAGAAAGUCUUUGGCCUCAUUUAUCUUGGCCGCCAAAUAUGGAGAGCCACCACGAUCCGGAUGAUUGAGCAACAUGAUUUUCUUAUGCGCAUCCUUGAUCUGCAACAUGUCGUGUUAAUCAGUUGGAUAGGUUUGUAAGUCUGAAGCACGUGGAGUACUUACCUUGAGCUUUGGAGCACUGGGACUGACACCAAGAAUAAGAGCGGCUUCGCGUUUGUUCAUUUUGGGAUCAAAGCCGCCCUUAUAGUACUUGGCAUUAGCCAUGCUCUCCGCAUCGAAUUUCGGCAGAUUCUUGAGGGCCUCAUUGAAUUUCGUUGUCAUCUGUGGCAUGCGUCGCAUCAAAUGUUUUCCAGCAAAGCCAACAGCCGCCACGCCGAGGCCGGCUAAAAUAAUCGAGCUCGUCUUGUGGUAGAAUUUACGGUUGAAGGUGUGUUUUGGUGGCAUUGCAUUUGUUGCAAUUUUUAUGAAACAAUUGUCGAAACAAGAAAUUAAAAAUAAUUAUGAUAAUUGACAGUUUAUUUAUCAAAUAAACAUAAAUAUUUUGCAAUUUUAUACCAUUUUUAUGUAAUCGAUGUGUGUUGUUGACUGUUGUCGUUUUGACAGCUGACUUGAAUAUGUUUUCAGUAUCGAUAAUGUAUAACAAGUACAUUUGAAAACUCUGAUAUCGAUAUUCUGUGUUAUUUAGAGAUGGUACUCACGAUAAUCGUAAGGUUUCUGAACAUCGAUUGCAAACGACUUUCCACAAAAUAUUUUAUAAUCAAAGAUCACAUUAAAAAUUUAAUUUUAAAACAACAAACCAUAUUUAUUAUUAUAUAAAAAAUAAAGAAAUAAAGUUGCUGAACUUAUUUUACACACUAAAGUCGAACGCGGAUAAAUGGUCAACCACAUUAUUGGUAAAACAUCGAUAAUAAAAAUUGAGACAACUUUGCUAUUAUGCAUUUGACAUCACCAAUAGACGUUGUUUUUAUGUUGAAUUGAUGAGAAAACUAAAAUAUAGAAUUGUACGAAUUUUUGUUUAUGGGACAUGCCAGCUGCAGACAGAUUUCACAAUAAGCCUAUGAUAUGGUUAAUUCGCCACGAGAAUAUACUCUUUACGCUAUGGGAGGAGGAAAGUAAAAAAGUCAAUUUCAGCGGCAACUAUCAAAAUAUAUAUCAAGCGAUUGCCGAAAAACUGUGUAAAGCCGGUUUACAAAUACAAUGGAAAGAUGUACGAACUAGAAUUGAGAGUGUCACCAAGAAAUACAACGAAGAGCUAAGGGAUAUUGAAGCUCUUGGACGGCCGUCUUCAUGGCGGCAUUUUGAGCGUGUUCACAAGAUUCUCGGCGUUAGCCCACAAAGCAUUGAGAGCAUCGAGAGCAAUGGCGUUGCCGCUCUGUUGGAUGAUGAACAAUAUGGCCUUGAUGAUUUACCCAAUUCCGAGACGUCGUCUGUUGCUGAACCCAACGACAAUAAUUGCCCUGACUCAGUCUCCGCCUCUCCAUCGCCAGAAAAGAAGAGACGCAAAUUGGGAAAUACAAGUAAAAUGACGCCUUUCGAGCUAGCGAUGCUGGAGAUUGAACGGGAUCGAACUGUUCGCUUGGAGAGCAUUGCCAUGAAUCGGCUUGAAGUAAUGAAACGAAUGGCAGCAGAAAAUGCCGAGUUUCACAAGAAACUACUAGCACUCGUGAAAAGCAGAAAGUGAAGCCCUGACUUUGUACAAAUUUAGUUCUAAUAUAUGCUACUGAAAUAUCUGACAAAUUCCAUCAGUUGAAUUAUUUAUUCUUCACUCGGCAAAUCGCUGAGGAAAGAGUCGCAAAAAUAUUCUUAUUUAAUUUGCGCAAUUUGGAAAAUAUGCAAACAGCAGUUGAUAAUUUAUUUGCAUGAUCAUAACAAUUAAUUUGUAGUGCGAAUCGCUCAAAAGCAUUAAUUACUCAUUGAUGUCCUUCACGUCAUCAGUGUAGAUGAAUUCGGGAGACAAUUGGGAUGCAUCCAGCAGUGCUCUCUCUUCAUAGUUCUCUGAUUUGGGCUGACAAUUUGGACUCUACAAGUAGAUAUUCAUCAACUAUCGUCAAUUGCUUAAUAGCAUUGCCUAGGCUUAGUAAGACCUGCCUUAAAAAUGUUAAAUAAAGUUGAAUUUAUUCGCCAAGGCGUUAAGACUUCUUAGCAAACGCUCUAUUUAAAAAAAUACAUUAUCAAAAUUUGACAGGUCAAAAUAGUCUGACCUGUUUUCUAGUUGAAAAUAUAAUCUGUUUGAUGAAUAUGUAUAUUUGGAAUUGAGUAUGGGCAGAAUAAUACAAUGAACUUUAUAAUUCUCUCUAUUCUUAGACAAGCAGACUCUUAAAUUCAGCCAUGUCUUUAAUAUAUUGUCGCUGUCUUUAGAAAAACACUUCAGUGAGUUUUUGAUCCGCUCUGAGUAGAGAACAAUAAUUCCAAAAUGAGCAGAAUAAUAUUAUAUACAGCCUUGAUUCUGGUUGUUCAAGGAAUAUCUUUUGCAGAAUCAGCAAUUAUUGAAAAGGUAAUAUAUUCUAUGGAAUAUGUAAAGUGUACAGUGCCUUAAAAAUGUUAAAUAAAGUUGAAUUUAUUCGCCAAGGCGUUAAGACUUCUUAGCAAACGCUCCUUUUAAAAAAUACAUUAUCAAAAUUUGACAGGUCAAAAUAGUCUGACCUGUUUUCUAGUUGAAAAUAUAAUCUGUUUGAUGAAUAUGUAUAUUUAGAAUUGAGUAUGGGCAGAAUAAUACAAUGAACUUUAUAAUUCUCUCUAUUCUUAGACAAGCAGACUCUUAAAUUCAGCCUUGUCUUUAAUAUAUUGUCGCUGUCUUUAGAAAAACACUUCAGUGAGUUUUUGAUCCGCUCUGAGUAGAGAACAAUAAUUCCAAAUGAGCAGAAUAAUAUUAUAUACAGCCUUGAUUCUGGUUGCUCAAGGAAUAUCUUUUGCAGAAUCAGCAAUUAUUGAAAAG